GAGAAGACCUCAUUCGAGAGUAUUUCUACGGUGGGUACACAAAUCUAAAGAUCUGUGGUAUCCUGCUCUUACGACAUGAAAUAGAAAUCAGUAUAAGACAUCUGAAAGAAUAUUAGCGAUGAUGGGACCAAGAAGACGAAUGCUGCAAAAUACUACUAGGGCGUCGUACGUUAUCAUGGAGAAGUGGUUCUUCUCUUGGAUGUCGUGGACUACAGCGUCGUCGUUUGUCACAUGGACUUGUGGUUUCAAGGUUGGGUAUCUGUACAUUAUGUAAGAAAAGGGAAGUGGGCAAUAAGGAACAAAAU